rnacentral:rRNA from 1 species
UGAGAGUUUGAUCCUGGCUCAGGAUAAACGUUGGCGGCGUGCCUUAGGCAUGCAAAUCAAGGGGCUCCGACGCAAGUCGGAGAACCGGUGGACGGGUGAGUAAUACGCAGGAAUCUGCCUGGAAGUGGGAUAUAGCUCGGCGAAAGCCGGGGUAAUCUCCCAUGUGAACGCAAGUUUAAAGCCGCAAGGCGCUUCUAGAUGAGCCUGCGUCCUAUCAGCAGGUUGGUGGGGUAAUGGCCUACCAAGGCGACGACGGGUAGCUGGACUGAGAGGUCGGUCAGCCACAAUGGGACUGCGACCAGAACUGAUCGCCUGCAUUGGUAACGAUGCAGUAAAAUCCAACUAAUAACGGUGGAGUCCAAACAAGCUACUUGACUUCGGGUAACCUUUGGGUUACGUUAGAAGUAUGUACGUUUGGGAUAAUACCGUGGGAAGUUCUAGAAGAGUUAAUCCAACGGCGCUAGCAUAUAUUGCAGGAUUUUUAGACGGUGAUGGGUGUAUUAAAGCAAGACUAGAUAAACAACCAAACAAUAAGUUUGGCUGGAGAACUAGAAUUGCAGUUAGCUUUACCCAACACACUAGAAAUCGGCAUGUAUUGGAUUGGAUAUACAGCCAGCUUAGAAAUGGUUCUAUAGCUGACUAUCCAUCUAAAAAUUUAUCAGAGUAUGUAAUUACUGAUAGUAAAUUUGUGGAGCGUUUGUUGAAGGGUUUAAAACUAUAUGUAGUGAAUAAGUUCAAACAAUUAGAUUUGGCUUUACAGCUUCUAAUUUUAAAAGAUCGUUUUAAGAAUAAAGAUUCUUUUAAUAAAGGUUUAGAAUUAGCGCUACAAAUUAGAGGUUUAAAUCAUUAUCACAAAAAACAUUUUUCUAGUAACCCCGUAACGACUGACAUGGAAGGUACCAGAUAAUCUGGGAUACUAAACUUCCAUUACAUGUUGGCUCCCCCGAUCAAAUCGGGGGAUGAAGAUAUAGUCUGAUACUCCGAGGGAUCGGAGAAAACAUUUAUGACGGCCCAUACACCUACGGGUGGCAGCAACCGGGAAUAUUCGACAAUGGACGAAAGUCUGAUCGAGCGACGCCGCGUGGAGGAUGAAGGCCCUCGGGUUGUAAACUCCUUUUAUCUGGGAAGAUUAUGACGGUACCAGAUGAAUAAGCACUUGCUAACUACGUGCCAGAAGCCUCGGUAAUGCGUAGAGUGCAAACGUUAUCCGGAUUUAUUGGGCGUAAAGAGUUGCGUAGGCUGAUCCGUGCAUUUUGUUUGAAAUGCUCUGACUUAAUCAGGGAUUUGG